CACGUAGGGUGCGAGCGUUGUCCGGAAUUAUUGGGCGUAAAGAGCUCGUAGGCGGUGUGUCGCGUCGGCCGUGAAAACCUGUGGCUUAACUAUGGGCUUGCGGUCGAUACGGGCAUCACUGGAGUUCGGCAGGGGAGACUGGAAUUCCUGGUGUAGCGGUGAAAUGCGCAGAUAUCUGGAGGAACACCGGUGGCGAAGGCGGCAUCCUGGACCAACACUGACACUGAGGAGCGAAAGCCAGGGGAGCAAACGGG
rnacentral:rRNA from 1 species